CCAUCUUCUUGUCGUCUCGUAAAUGGCGAUGUAACAAGGGGCCACGCCUGCUCCUCUCGACGGGCCUUGACUCUCGGUUGAAGGAAGCCAGGCCGCCUUUCCGGAAAUGCACUUCCGUCUGCCUCCUUCCAUAGCUUUUAUGGCUCUCAUGUGCACGUGCGCCUCUUCGCGAGGAUUCACAGAUGAAGACAUUGUGCC